rnacentral:sRNA from 1 species
CUGCAUUCUCACAAGCAUUUGAUGUUACUACUGUUUUUAUUUUUUUUAACUCUGAUAGAUGUGUAGUGACACUCAUUGUGGUUUUAAUUUGCAUUUCUCUAAUGACUGAUGAUGUUGAAUAUCUUUUUGUGUGCUUAUUUAUCACCCAUAUGUCCUCUUUAGUGAAAUGUCUUUUACAAUAAAUGAGUUUUUGUAAAUGGCCUAUAUUUAUUUUCAUUUUAGUAAACUGUUUCACGUUAGACCUGUAACCCAAGGAGAUGUGUAUAGAGCUGAAACUGAAGAAAUUCCUAAAAUAUUCCAGAUACUAUAUGCAAAUGAAGGUGAAUGUAGAAAAGAUGUAGAGAUGGAACCAGUACAACAAGCUGAAAAAACUAAUUUCCAAAAUCACAAAGGCCAUGAGUUUAUUCCUACGCUCUACCACUUUCCUGCCAAUUGUGAUGCCUGUGCCAAACCUCUCUGGCAUGUUUUUAAGCCACCCCCUGCCCUAGAGUG